GACGAACCGUGCGACCGUUAUUCGGAAUCACUGGGCGUAAAGCGCACGUAGGCGGCUUCUUAAGUCAGGGGUGAAAUCCUGGAGCUCAACUCCAGAACUGCCUUUGAUACUGAGGAGCUUGAGUCCGGGAGAGGUGAGUGGAACUGCGAGUGUAGAGGUGAAAUUCGUAGAUAUUCGCAAGAACACCAGUGGCGAAGGCGGCUCACUGGCCCGGUACUGACGCUGAGGUGCGAAAGCGUGGGGAGCAAACAGG
rnacentral:rRNA from 1 species